UAGGGAAUCUUCGGCAAUGGACGAAAGUCUGACCGAGCAACGCCGCGUGAGUGAGGAAGGUUCUUGGAUCGUAAAACUCUGUUGUUAGAGAAGAACAAGGACGUUAGUAACUGAACGUCACCUGACGGUAUCUAACCAGAAAGCCACGGCUAACUACGUGCCAGCAGCCGCGGUAAUACGUAGGUGGCAAGAGUUGUCCGGAUUUAUUGGGCGUAAAGCGAGCGCAGGUGGUUUCUUAAGUCUGCUGUGAAAGCCCCCGGCUCAACCAGGGAGGGUCAUUGGAAACUGGGAGGCUUGAGUGCAGGAGAGGAGGGUGGAAUUCCUUGUGUAGCGGUGAGAUGCGUAGAUAUAUGGAAGAACACCAGUGGCGAAGGCGGCUCUCUGGUCUGUAACUGACGCUGAGGCUCGAAAGCGUGGGGAGCAAACAGG
rnacentral:rRNA from 1 species